GCGGACCCCUCCCGCUGCGCCGCCUUGCGUGUUCCUCUUCGCUCCGGCCAGAGGCCCGCCUCUCACUGUCUGCCGAGGGGUGGGGUCGGGCGGUGGGCGCUGAAGACCCCUGGAGGCAGAAGUCUGGUCUGGCCAAUUUGACUGGCCGUUCGGUAGUUAAGAAAUUUAUUCCUAAAUGCGGGAUUUGCUGAAGCUGCCCGGGACUGACCGUCCGUUCUCGGCCUUAAAACCCGACGUUCACUUCUUUUCAUCCAGAUCUCUCCCAAAUCAAGAAGCCUAAUCCUUUAGUUCCCAAAUCGAGGCCUCGUGGUUUAAUUGCCCCAUUUGCUCUGUCAGCCCAAACUCUGCCAGGCCUGCUACUAGAGACCCUUUUUUAUUUUUUUAAUUCUUGUGGAUACAUAGUAGGUGUAUAUUUACGGGCUACAUGGGAUGUUUUGAUACAGGCAUGCCAUGGAUAAUAAUCACAUCAAGGGUUAGGCUUGCUGAGGGGCAGGCACAGGAGUCCUGGCUGAGCUCAUGGCCUGAGGCUGCCUAGCGGCCACGGGGAAUG
rnacentral:lncRNA from 1 species